rnacentral:rRNA from 1 species
UACGGGGGGAGCAAGCGUUGUUCGGAUUUACUGGGCGUAAAGGGCGCGUAGGCGGCCAGCGCAAGUCAGUUGUGAAAUCUCCGGGCUUAACUCGGAACGGUCAACUGAUACUGCGCGGCUAGAGUGCAGAAGGGGCAACUGGAAUUCUCGGUGUAGCGGUGAAAUGCGUAGAUAUCGCUUGGAACGCCGAAGGUGAAAACAGACUGCUGGGGUUGCGCCGACGCUGAGACACGAAAGCCAGGGGAGCAAACGGG